rnacentral:rRNA from 1 species
AUUGAACGCUGGCGGCAGGCCUAACACAUGCAAGUCGGGCGGCAGCGGGGGAAAGCGUGCUUUCCUGCCGGCGAGCGGCGGACGGGUGAGUAAUGUCUGGGGAUCUGCCCGAUGGAGGGGGAUAACCACUGGAAACGGUGGCUAAUACCGCAUGAACUCUGAGGAGCAAGGUGGGGGACCUUCGGGCCUCACGCCAUCGGAUGAACCCAGAUGGGAUUAGCUAGUAGGUGGGGUAACGGCUCACCUAGGCGACGAUCCCUAGCUGGUCUGAGAGGAUGACCAGCCACACUGGGACUGAGACACGGCCCAGACUCCUACGGGAGGCAGCAGUGGGGAAUAUUGCACAAUGGGCGCAAGCCUGAUGCAGCCAUGCCGCGUGUAUGAAGAAGGCCUUCGGGUUGUAAAGUACUUUCAGCGGGGAGGAAGGCGUGAAACCGAAUACGUUCACG